GUUUAGUCAUUUUUCAAUCUUCACUCCCAUUGAACGUAAAUUUCACUUUUGAUCAAGACCCAUUUUUCCUUUCAAUACUCAUAUUCAAAACCUCCAGGAGACUCUUCUAUUACCUUCAACAUUUGUUAUUUGAAUAUAAGGAUACGGCUACCAUUACGUAUUUUAAACUCGAAGAUUUUCGUCUCUAUCUCGUUAUCUGACCGCGAUCAUCACAUAAGGUUGUUUUGGUUCAAAAGAGAAGGGUCCGACAUGAUCGUAUCGCAUCCACCAGAGUUUAAUAUUUUAUGAUUUUGGGAUUAUACCCUGAUAACUAUUUUUUCACAUUGUCAUACUUUGAUGGUUUUAAAUGAAUGAUUAAUGAUUUUGGUAGACUUAAAAUUAAAAAUUUCAACUUAUUAUUUUUAAGAUGUUUCAUAUUCGAAAUGGAGACUUUUGUUCUUCAAAUAUUUGUUUUUUCAUAGUUUUUCUGAACCGCUGGUUAGUGAUUAGAAGUUAAUAUCACCAAGUUAGUAGAAAUCGUCAACGCUUCACACCCACCAUUGUUAGAAGCUUAGUAGAAGCCGAAGUGCUAUGUGUAGAGAUUAGACAUCAUAGUCUUGUUGACAGUAGUAUGUUGAACUUUUUUUCCUUCAAAUGUGUACCAAAGCUCUUAGGCAACAUAAAGAUCCCAUUAUCGACCUUAUAAGUCGAGGUUCAUUGAAAGGCAAUGGUUUAUCGUAUGAGAAUGCUCUUGAUUACAAUUUUUAAAUACCUAUUAUGGU